UUCUCACAGGAAACAGGGA
rnacentral:misc_RNA from 1 species